AAAACUUUCAACAACGGAUCUCUUGGUUCUGGCAUCGAUGAAGAACGCAGCGAAAUGCGAUAAGUAAUGCGAAUUGCAGAAUUCAGUGAAUCAUCGAAUCUUUGAACGCACAUUGCGCCC
rnacentral:rRNA from 1 species